AUGCAUGUUUAAGCAGAAGCCGCACAAUGGUAAAGCCGCGAAUGGCUCAUUACAACAGCCGUCGUUUCUUGGAUCUCUAAUUUUACUUGGAUAACUGUGGUAAUUCUAGAGCUAAUACACGCACUAAAGCUCUGACCUUAUGGGACGAGCGCAUUUAUUAGAACAAAACCAAUCGGGUUUCGGCCCGUUCGUUGGUGACUCUGAAUAACUCUGCCGAUCGCACGGUCUCGCACUGGCGACGUAUCUUUCAAGUGUCUGCCUUAUCAACUUUCGAUGGUAGUUUAUGUGCCUACCAUGGUUGUAACGGGUAACGGAGAAUAAGGGUUCGACUCCGGAGAGGGAGCCUGAGAAACGGCUACCACAUCCAAGGAAGGCAGCAGGCGCGCAAAUUACCCACUCUCGGCACGAGGAGGUAGUGACGAAAAAUAACGAGACGGAUCUCUUUGAGGCCCGUUAUUGGAAUGAGAACAAUUCAAAUCCUUUAACGAGGAUCUAGCGGAGGGCAAGUCUGGUGCCAGCAGCCGCGGUAAUUCCAGCUCCGCAGGUGUAUAUCUAUGCUGCUGCGGUUAAAAAGCUCGUAGUUGGAUCUGCGUGCUCGGAACUGGUUGGCUCACUGAGUUCAAACUGGUCUCCGGCGCUUUAUUUGCUGGUUUUCCCUUGAUGCUCUUAACCGGGUGUCUCGGGUGGCUAGCGUGUUUACUUUGAAAAAAUUAGAGUGCUCAAUACAGGCGCAAAGCCUUGAAUAGUGGUGCAUGGAAUAAUAGAAUAGGACCUCGGCUCUAUUUUGUUGGUUUUCGGAACGCGAGGUAAUGAUUAAGAGGGACAGACGGGGGCAUUCGUAUUGCGACGUUAGAGGUGAAAUUCUUGGAUCGUCGCAAGACGGACGACUGCGAAAGCAUUUGCCAAGAAUGUUUUCAUUAAUCAAGAACGAAAGUUAGA
rnacentral:rRNA from 1 species